rnacentral:rRNA from 1 species
UACGUAGGUGGCAAGCGUUGUCCGGAUUUAUUGGGUUUAAAGGGUGCGUAGGCGGCCUUGUAAGUCAGUGGUGAAAUACUCCAGCUUAACUGGAGGGGUGCCAAUGAUACUGCAGGGCUUGAGUACAGAUGAGGUAGGCGGAAUUGACGGUGUAGCGGUGAAAUGCAUAGAUAUCGUCAAGAACACCGAUGGCGAAGGCAGCCCCCCUGGGAUAACACUGACGCUCAUGCACGAAAGCGUGGGGAGCAAACAGG